UUCAACUUCAAUGCAGGAUACCACUGUCUCUGUAAGACCUUCAACCACUAAGUCACCAUGACGUGCAAUCGUAUUUUUGUGAAAUAAAUCCUGUAUUCUUUGUUAUGCAGAAAGCCACUUUCCACAGAAAAGGAAUGUGCUGCAUGCAUGCCCUAUGUAUUCCCAGAGGCUUUUGGAGUUCUUCUGGGAAAUUCCAGAUUCAUGCUAUUCCUAUCCAAGCCAUACCUGUUCUUGCUUUCAAAGGCGGCCAUCAUUAGCUUCCAGAAUUUACAUUCCUUCCCAGACCUUCUGUAUGAGACCAGACCAAUGCUUUUCCGUUUCUAGAACAUGAAGAGCAGAGUUGUUCACACUGACCAAGUACUAGCCAUUGCCCAAAGAUAAAUACCUCUCUCUCUCCGUCUCUCUCCCUCUCUCCUCCCUCUUCAGUGGCUGACAAGGCUGCCUACCUGAUGGGCCUUAACUCAGCUGACCUGCUCAAAGCCCUGUGUUAUCCUCGAGUCAAGGUUGGAUGAAUUUGUGACCAAAGGUCAAACUGUGGAACAGGUAAAAUCUGGAGGCUGAAAAUACAUGGCUUGAAAGAGUACUUGAGCAUUCUUCUUUGACCCUAGGAGGUAACUCCAGUCCUUUCUUCUCUACUUUAGGUGAACAACGCAGUUGGUGCCUUGGCAAAGGCUGUCUAUGAGAAGAUGUUCUUGUGGAUGGUUAUUCGCAUCAACCAACAGCUGGAUACCAAGCAACCCAGACAGUACUUCAUUGGUGUCUUGGACAUUGCUGGCUUUGAGAUCUUUGACUUCAACAGCUUUGAGCAGCUGUGCAUCAACUUCACCAACGAGAAACUGCAACAGUUCUUCAACCACCACAUGUUCGUGCUGGAGCAGGAAGAGUACAAGAAAGAAGGAAUUGAAUGGACUUUCAUUGACUUUGGGAUGGACUUGGCUGCCUGCAUUGAGCUCAUUGAGAAGGUACCUUUUCCAUACAAGUGUACAAUGUGUCUUGGAAUUCUGUGAUGUUACUGAGGCCAGAUUCAGCUCGGAAAGAACUCACAGCCAGACAUUCAGUGUCAGUGAAACAAGAUAUUUUGCACUGGCAUUUAUUUUAGUCUGGGGAAGAGAAAUUAGGAAACUCAAAUCUCUGUCAUGAAUCCUGCAUUACCUGGUCUUCAAGCAUGGAAAAGAUAGCCUGGACUCCCACCAACAGACUUCUUUAAAACAAACUGGAGUCACUCUCCUUUCCUUUUUCCUCUGAAGACUCAAAUCAGAACUC
rnacentral:lncRNA from 1 species